UGUGCAAAUCAUACAAUUUAUCCAUCAGCUUCCAUCAUUAAUUUAACAUAUGGGUAGCAGAGAAGCCACUACUCACUCAGUUCUCAACUGACUGCCUUAAUGAUGCUUUCUCCCCCGUCCUUGGUUCUUCCACUUAGUAUUUCUAGUGUCAUCUUCCUCCUAUUUGAUUCUUCUUCACUGCUUCUUCCUCCUUGCUCAGGAAGACAUGAAUAAAGAAGCAGUGAGUUGUUUGUUUCUUUAUUUUCCUGCCUGUGUACUAGAAGGAGCCAGACCUGGUACAUUCAUUUGAGAUAAGCAGGGUUGGGUUGUAGUUAAAUGUUUGCAGAGAAUGUUCCAAGGAAAACAGAGUAUGGGGGUUUAGAUGGGGAAAGUGCCCUCUGAGUCAGUAUCAGAUGAGGCCUCUGUUGUGGUGCUGGGAAGGUGGUGCUUGGGCUAUGGAGAAACAAUCCCACAACCUGAAUAAUAGCCUGUGGCCAACAGAAUUCUGUGUCUUUUCUUCCAAGUAAAGCCGGCUACUGGGCAAAUUCCAACUCGGGUGAUCCCAUUGUUUUCAACAUUAAUCAUUCUCAGAAAUAUUGAGUUUUCUAAAGUGUUUUGCCAAGGCGGCCCUUGGAAACCUGUCUAUGCUUCUGGAUGAACCAACCUAAGUCACAUCACUCCAGAUAUCAUGGAGGAUAUCCAUAUGGUUAUAUGGAAUCAUAGAAACUUGUGGACGGAGGAGACUUAGGGAUUAUCUAGUCCAACCUUCUUGAUUUCAGGUGCUGAUAAUUCCCAGGACUACCACCAGCCUCGCCUUUGUGCUGACAAGACUUCCUGAUACGUCCUCAAGGAUGAUCAAAUGAACUUCAUGACUUGUUUCUGUUUCUGCCCUUGGACGACUUCUGCGGAAAUCAUCUCUAGAUCUUACCUAGUCAAUCCAGGAAAAUCUCUCCUUACACCCUCUGUCUGUUUCAAUUCGGAGGGAGAAAUUGCCUAAUUGGGCCUUGUUCUGUUGCCUCCACCUCCCGGGUUCAAGCAAU
rnacentral:lncRNA from 1 species